CCCUUAGAUGUCCUGGGCCGCACGCGCACUACACUGAUGCAUGCAACGAGUUUAUAACCUUGGCCUGAAAGGUCUGGGUAAUCUUUUGAACGUGCAUCGUGAUAGGGAUAGAUUAUUGCAAUUGUUAAUCUUGAACGAGGAAUUCCUAGUAAACGCGAGUCAUCAGCUCGCAUUGAUUACGUCCCUGCCCUUUGUACACACCGCCCGUCGCACCUACCGAUUGAAUGGUUCGGUGAAGAUCUCGGACUUCGAUAUUUAUUCUUUAUUGAGUUUAUAUUGUGGGAAGUUAUCUAAACCUCAUCAUUUAGAGGAAGGUGAAGUCGUAACA
rnacentral:rRNA from 1 species